ACCAGUGUGGCGCAGUGGUUUUAGCGUUGGACUUGGACUCUGGAGACCGGGGUUCGAAUCCUCACUCAGCCA